rnacentral:lncRNA from 1 species
UAAAUGUGUAAUUUAGCCAGGCUAACAUCAACCAACAGGUGUUACAGUACAAACAAUCAGCUUGGCCAAACCCUUACCCCAGAUAGGGUUUUAUUGGUGGCGACCGCGCCUGUAUCUAUGGAUAAUUGUACGACGUUGAGAUACAUUGUACAUUCUGUUAUUCAACUCGCAGCUAUGCUGCAAGGCAGCCUGACUUGCACUAGAAAUACACACAGGAUGUUCUCGACCCAAGUAUAGGUAUCUCUGAAGGCAGCCCACUACGCAAUACACAUAAGCCACACUGACCCAGGGAUGUUUUACAAAGGGCAGCACAUCUCGAUACUUGAGCGGGGGUACUCAAUCCUGAUAACAACCAAAUGAGGUCUCCUCAACUGGAAACGCCGAACAGGCGGCUGGUUUUCUCAGUCAUGAGUUACUGAUUGGACGUGCGCAAUAACUUGCUCAAUGCUCUCGAACUGGCGCCGUCCCUUCAGGAUUGCCUUGGCACAAUCAAGCGCGCGGCGCUCACAUGAUGCUCUCUUGCUGGCAUCCUCGAUUGAGUCAAAAUCCUCGAUAUGGGCAAUUCCAACAAUUCUCCUGCACAGGGAAGAGAGUAUAGGCAACAAAAGUCGAUGAUUUUUAGUCAAGAGUCCAGCAUGCAUAAGACACGAGAAUAUGUGCGCAGUAUGAAAUCAAUGUCUAAUGUGAUUUUUAGUUCUGAACAGGGUACAUUUGGUAAGCUAUUAUGCUUAUUUUUUUCACUGCAUAGCAUUCCUGAAGCACAUUUGAUCAAUUUUUGUUUUGUGCUGCAAUCAUUAAGGCUGGUCUUCCGGGUCAAAUGAGAUUUUUAGUCCUUAACAGGGUACAUUUUGUAAGCUAUUUAUGCUUAUUUGUCACUGCAUAGCAUUAUGGAAACAGGAUGCCAUAUCAGAACUGAAAUCUGAAACCUAUGCAUUGGACUAGCUUAAUACACCUGAGUCUUUUCAGUUACAGAGAAGCCUUGAUGUAUUACCGUAGUCGAGAGUAGAUUACAUUCAACAAGUAACUGAUAUAUUCAGAAAUUGAGUGAGUAAUUACCUGAUCAUUUUGGCUGAACCAAAUCCAAGACUAUCAUGAAGUAAACCUGUCAUGUAUUUCUUCUGUACAAUUCUCAAAAGCUCUGACUUGUGAUACUGGGUCUUGUGCACUUUCGAUAGCCUUGCAAUUUUCGUUAGGAUUUAGUGCGUGUGCAUUUUCACAUAAUUUCUAACAAUCCAGAUCAUCUUUUCAUUGCGGAAGACUAACCAACCAGGCGCAGAUCCAUUUCAUUCUGCUGAGCAUCCCAGGCUGUGUAUGCUAGCCUCCUCUGCAUUUGCAGGCCGUCGAGUCUCUGUGAACUUCCUUUGCAUAUAUGUUGAUCACGAUUUAACUUCAAAAUGAAAAGAGAAUCCAAUCCAUACUGUGCUACAGUAAUUUUUGGUGUCAACUAAUUCAAGAGUACUUGAAAUCCGAUGGGAAAUACUGAUGGUGCAUCAUUUUGGACUAAUCUUCUUAACUGAGACCAAAUUUAAAUGCCCUAGAGGCCUUAACACUAGGAUGACUUAAUCCUUUCAGGAUCUAACAGUUAUUACAAAAAGAGAACUGAGAAAACUCCAGUUAUGGUGAAGAAUGGAUGAGUCUGUUAGAAACCCCAUCUUUUUCUUGUUUCGGUAUUGUCUGCAGCUUUGUUUCAUGAAGAUUAUAUUCUGUAUUUUUAUGUCACAUUUGAAUGUGUUGGAAAGUAGGCGGCUCUAUAUCUUGCCAAUUCAAUUUCUGAUAGGCACGAGCCCCAUGUGUUCUGGACAAGUAAGGACACAUGCAUAAUUACAUGAUCAUGUAACAAUUCUGAGUGAGACGCAUGCAUUUAGAUUGGAUGUUGAAGCAAGCCCCCAUUUUAUUACUCUGAAUGAACUAUACAGUGAUGUUUGGCUAUUGCUUUCAGUAUUAGAGAAUCAUAGAAACUGAACUGCAAGGCUUACUAUUGUUUUAUGUGACAUUCCUGUAUGCCAUCACGUCAUACUGUUUAUUUUGAGCAACCUUUCUAUGUUAUUUUCUUGGAUAGUUUUUAGUGUAAUGUCGGUAAAUAAGUACUACAAGCUUGGGUAUAUAUUUUAAUUUUCUCAUGUUGUAUUUAUUUUAUUUGCUCUGCUACUUUAGCAAUCAAAUUGAAUCACACACAAGCUCCAGUUAGUCCUGCGCAAAAGUGAUUUUAAAGUGUGGAUUAUGGACUCCUUAUUUAUUCUGUUUCAGACAUAGGAUCAUAGGGAAAAGUGUGGACUACGUAUCCAUUCCAGAACUUGAUUGGCCAUGGCACGUCUGCACCAACGAGUCAUGGCGUCGGCAACAAUAUUCAAGAUUUCCUGUCUCCUUCAUUUUUAAAGCAUCUCUCUUAAAGGCAAUAUAUGCAGGUUCAUCAUUCAUGCGAGGGAUAUGAAAGAUGAAACAAAAGUAAAAGGUGUUUACGCCUACAGAGGCAUCCUACUACUUGUAGUUUCUGUAGUUCAAUCAAAUAGUAUAAUUUUCAAAUUAUAUUUGUUAUGGUUAGAUAUAAUUUUUUAAAAGUUUUGAGGUUCUAUGAGAUGAGAAGAUGGCUCAUAUGUGAUACGGUGAUAUGCUUUUAUUUUUUCAUUUCCUAUGUUCCUUGUCAAGCAUUUGUGCACGAAUUGGCUACAUGACUGCAAAGCUAACCAAAUAAGAAUGAGAGUAAUUACAUGUCUGCAAAGCUAACCAAAUAUGAAUGAGAUGAAUUUCCUGACCGCGGUUUGUGCCGGAGCUUACUAUGAAAGAAACGUUCUAUGCCAAAAUCACUACUCUCCUAUUCUUUUUAUUUUCAACGGUUUAUUGACUUCAUUAAUUCUUCACCGGAAGCCAUGGAAAAUGUUUAUGAAUAGCAACAACUAGCAGUAACUAUGUUUGGUUCUAGGCCACCCUGCUCCAUGUAAGUCAGACAAGUCUUUUGCAGUAUCAGUCUGAUAACAAAUAAUUCUUCACCAUGUUAAUUAGCAGUACUACAUGCCAAAAUCCAUUCCCUCGAUGCCUUGGAAGUGUACUUAACUUCCUCUUUGCAGAAUCCACAUACUAUGUAUACAUGAGAUCUUUUUUUAUCACGGUUAUAUGUGCAUUACAUGUGCACGCUUACUAGUCCAUUCUAAAUUGGCCCAACUUGGGCCUGCCAGCACCGCUGUGCCACUAUGCGCACCGUCCGAUCCUCUGGACGGCACAGAUCAACAACACGAUCGCAAAAUCAGCACAGGUGGAAACCCUACCCAAAAUAUCCUCCAAUUUUCGCCGUCAUUUCACGGAAAGGAAGGAGAUAGCGGCUGCGUCGGCGCCGAAUUCCUUGCCGGCGUGGCCGCGCCGGCAAUUCGGGAUGCUCGACGGCGAUGUUGCGUCCGGCGUCGAUCUCCCCCGCUGUGCUCGUUGAGUAUGUGGUGCCGCCGUCCUUGAAGGCAGACGUCCUGGCCAUGGUGAUGGGGGCUGCGUGGGCCGUUGCCACUGAUGGCAGGCACGGUGUCCGGGAAACGGCGGCUGCUCGCGCUACGGUGACGGCCGGCCCGGAGACGGCCUCCGCGCGGAAGACGGAGGCUGAGCGGUUUCUGUGUGCUGGAGUUUGCUCCGGCGGCGUGGAGAGGAGCUGCAGCCGGCGCAUCGCAAAGGGAUGGAGGCCCCCUUCUCCCAUCCCAGUCACCGAUUAUAUGUGGGUACGUGUAUUUCUGCAACCUCAUGUAUUAGUCUAAAGUAUACUAUUCUAUUAUGCUCGAAGCCCAAAUAGUAAACAGGAUGCGCUUUGCAUAGAGUCGAUGCUCACAAACAUGGGGCUAAUUAUAUUAUACUCCCUCCGUCCGAAAAUACUUGUCAUCAAAAUGGACAAAAAGGAUGUAUCUAGAACUAAAAUACAUCUAGAUACAUCCCCUUUUAUUCAUUUUGAUGACAAGUAUUUCCGAACGGAGGGAGUACAUGGUAAACAUGAAUAAACCAUAGGUCUUACCGAACCAAAUUAGAUAGGAGUCUGCGUGCGUUUAUCUUAGCCACGUGGCACCCGGGUUGAUAGUCGAGCUGAUUGAAUUGGAGGCGGGGAAAGAUCAGCAGGAAAACAAUGCCACGAAGAGUGCGUGAGGUUCGUAUGCCAAGUUAUCCAACAUUGUGUGCGUGGAAUCAGACUUGUAUGCAACCAUAGAUAGGAAAGUGAUCCCGUAUUAAUUAAUUAGAUUAGAGUUAAUGCGCAUUANNNNNNNNNNNNNNNNNNNNNNNNNNNNNNNNNNNNNNNNNNNNNNNNNNNNNNNNNNNNNNNNNNNNNNNNNNNNNNNNNNNNNNNNNNNNNNNNNNNNNNNNNNNNNNNNNNNNNNNNNNNNNNNNNNNNNNNNNNNNNNNNNNNNNNNNNNNNNNNNNNNNNNNNNNNNNNNNNNNNNNNNNNNNNNNNNNNNNNNNNNNNNNNNNNNNNNNNNNNNNNNNNNNNNNNNNNNNNNNNNNNNNNNNNNNNNNNNNNNNNNNNNNNUAUAGCAGUUGAUCCCGGACAGAAUCUCAUCUGUCAUUGAUUUCUUUCAUCCAGCUGGAUUUAUAAUGAUGACAUACGUAUAAAAAUAGAUCCUUGUGAAGCUGUUUUAGAGGCGACGAACACUAAGUGGCUGUGCGAACAUAAUAACAUUGGAACAUCAUUAUAGAGCAUCGAAGUGAAUUUUGCAUCAGACUUGAACCCUCCUCAUUCAUUGAACGUGAACAUGGCUCAUUCGUUGAACAAUCAAGCUGGCCCGGUUCUGCAAGGACCCUAGAGCAUCUCCUAGUGCCGCACGGCAGGCUGCCAGCUCGUAGGACUGCUAGUUGUCUGGUUGGAAGACAAGCUGGCUCAUGUAUGUCAUUUUCAAGAACCCUACAAAAUUGGUUUAAUAAAACAACAUACAAUACAUAUUUUUAUAUAAGAUGGUCAUGUAAAACGUUUUUCGAUUACACAAGCACUCAUGUUGUGCUCUGUUGACCUCAAGCAGUGUGGCACCUAAAGUCCAGAGCCCCUGCUUUGCUAGUCCCCACCGCAUCAAGUGGCGUGACACAUGCUGGUCCUAGACACGUAGGUAGAUAAACUCCCUCCUGGUUGAGCAAUAAAAUGCUAGCCCACUGCCAAUAAAAUGUACUAAACAUUAAGUAGAGUUCUUACCGAGUGUUCAUUAGGACCACAUGUCGGUAUGGCGUGGUACGGUCGUCUGACCUGUGUAACAUUAUUUUGCUGACAUGCAUCACUGUGCCAAUGACAUCUGGGAAAAAAUGAUGUGAAUUUGUUAAGAAAGUCUGGCUCAACUACAUGUCAGCAAAAUUCAUUGUGAAAUGAUAUAAUGCACUUGCAAGCAUCCUGUUUCUGAGGCUGUAUACAUCUAUAAAAUCAAUGAAUCGUGGCAGCAACGAAGGGGUGUUAAUGCUGGCCCUGGCAAGAAGUAUUUCAGUGCGCGAGUGGAGGACGAUGUAAAAGUCACAUGGCACCGGCAAUGCAACUGGCAGAUGCAUAGCUGCUGGUUCAAAACCAAGUUUUUUGAAUAAGUAUACUGAGCCGGCACGUAGGUUAUCGCUGAAGCGAUAUGCGAUCGGUUGAAAUGGAUCAAAUGCAAUUGCAUCCAUUUUGACCCCCUGGAAAUUUAUUGCAUACAUGAGCAGCAUGUUGAAUAUAUUAUCAGCAGAUCACUUGAUAGCAUAUCUUCUUUGAAUACUUACGGUUUGGUUGAUGAGGAUGGCGUGAAAGAUGGCUGCUCCACUCCGGGUAUGUUUGAUGCGAGCAUACAAAACCUUUGCCGUUGCGUCCCAACCUCUACUGUAUAUAUGUAGGUUUUCUAUUUCGCUGAACCUUACAUGUCUGCAAUUGGUUGGCAAAGAGCACAAUUCUGUACAUUUACUUAUGAUAAUAACUAAAAGUAGGAAUGGAUAAAAUGUUGCCUGGCGAUCGGCGGUGGAGGGCCAAUGGGAGCGGGAACGAAGUUCACAGGCGGUGGUGCCAUGACCCUCUUCGAGCCAGGAUGGCCCAUCCUGGGUCCCAUCACCAUGAGCGCCAAGACCAUAUUUCUCUUCAACACGACUCAUGGUUCAGAACGCAGAAUGAUUUUUAUAGUGGUAUAUGGCGGGAAAUAGAAGCGCUGGAAUUUUGUAUUGGCAUGGUAUACAGACGUAUAUUGACUGAUCUGACUAUUUUCAUUUUCAUUGGCGCGAAGUAAACCAUGGUGAUAGAAAAAAGGAAGUGAUUGAAAGAAGGAAGGAGAUUGAUCACCGUUUGAUUGAAAGAAGGAAGGAGAUUGAUCACCGUCAUGACUGAAUUGAUUGCCAUGCAUGAAUUGAUUGCGUUUGGAUUGAUUGUUGAUUGAUUGCGCUUGGUUGCCUUAUGUGAAUUAUUUCUUUACCACCUCCGUUUCAGUUUACAAGUCCUGCGCGUAUACCUAUGUUGCUAAUUUUAUCACCCUAAUAUAAACUAUAUAACACAAAAAUUAUACCUUUUGAAAGUAGAAACUCCGAAGUUUAUGUUGGUAUAUUUUUUGUAAUAUAUGACUUGUAUUAGGUUAGUCAAAUUAACGACCUAGGGGUACGCGCACGCCCUGUAAACUGAGAGAGAGGUAGUACCAAAGAUAGAGUCAAUUGGAGGGAGAAAAGAAAAUCGGCAGAGGGAGAAAACUGGUGGGGAGAAGAAGAAAAUCGCUGGAGGGGAGGGGGGAUCGUACGAAGGGGGUUGGAGAACUUAAGAGGGGAAACGGAACCUUACGUUUCUUUCGUGUAGUAGAGAUAGAGAUUUUUAGUUCUGCUACCGUUCCUAAUGCAAGGGUGAGAAAGGAGAGAUGGGCUCCUCCAACAGGUGAUUGUGUCAAGAUAAAUGUUGAUAUUUCCUUUGACCUAGACAUUCUGAGGGGAACUACGGGUGCAGUCAUUGGUGAUAAAAAGGGGAAGUUCAUUGCCGCGUGUAAUGCACGUUUGGAUAUGGUUCAAGAUGUUUUGUCGGCUAAAGCUUUGGCGCUCAAACACGGCUUGUUCUUAGCUGAAUCCAUGGGCUGUAAUAGAGUUGUUGUGAGUUUUGAUAAUAGUGAAUUAAUAGAAAUUAUGAAGAACGAGAGGCCUACUGCUGCAGCGAUUUAUCAUGAUUGUUUUUCUAUGGAGUCAGACUUUGUUAGGGUUAAGUAUGAGUAUGCGAAUAGGGAAACAAAUUCUGUAGCCCAUGAACUGGCCCAGUUAGCUAAAUUCCAGACCAGUAGGGUCUGGAUGGAUGAUCCUNNNNNNNNNNNNNNNNNNNNNNNNNNNNNNNNNNNNNNNNNNNNNNNNNNNNNNNNNNNNNNNNNNNNNNNNNNNNNNNNNNNNNNNNNNNNNNNNNNNNNNNNNNNNNNNNNNNNNNNNNNNNNNNNNNNNNNNNNNNNNNNNNNNNNNNNNNNNNNNNNNNNNNNNNNNNNNNNNNNNNNNNNNNNNNNNNNNNNNNNNNNNNNNNNCCCCCUCUAUUGUACCUCCUCCAACAGGAAUGCAGAUUUUGUGAGCUUAUGCACCCGGGCCUCACUAUCCUAACACUCCAAUGUUGCUUUGAGAUCUGUGCUACACAACUAUCUUAUUACAUGGAAUUUUCUCUUUUUUGUUCCUAUCAUAUAAAACAUGUCUUGAACUUCAAACUUUGCAGUACAACAUAACUUUGUAACUAGAAUGUGAGAUAAAACUUUUAGAUUUUUUUGUCCGACAUAAAUAUGAAAAAUAAGAUUUUUUAAUCAAAUAAAUCUCAUUUUGUAUAUUUAUGUUGGACCAAAAAAUCUGUAAGUUUUAUCCCACAUUCUACAUAGAAAGUUUUGUUGUGCUGCAAAGUUGAAGUACAAAAUACAUGUUCUAUAUGAGAGAAACAAAAAAGAGAAAAUUAUUUGCACGAAUCGUGAUGCAGGAAUGAGUGGUUGGAUAAGGAGUACCCGGGUGCAUAGGCUCUAAAACAUGUUUUCGCCUCCAACAGGUGCCGCCGCCGCUCUGCCCCUCUGCUCCCGCCGCCGCCUGUAGAUCUGUGUCAACUUGCUUCGAUUUGCUUGUCCUUAUUCUACUACUUGUUACCCUCCAUCGCAGGCGCAGGUGAUCGUCAGAGGGAGGAGGAUGAGCGGCAGCAUGCGGCGGAUCCUGAACCUGGGGUUGUUCGAAGGGGUCAAACGCGCGUAUUCGCUGCGGCGCCUGAACCUGGAGCUCUCCAAGGUGAAGUUUUUCCACCCGACGGCACAAGAGGCGGCCGCUCAUGGCAAGGUGCUGCCAACACUGACGCCAGCCCAGGCCGAGGCCACCAGCAGGACAAGGAUCUGCAACACCGAUCUGGCGACGGCGGAGGCGGCGGCGCCCAAGAUCGAUCCGCCAAAAACCGAGCUGGUCAUAAAGCCACCGGAAGUCUCCUACUCCAUCCGGUCUCCUCGCUGCGUUCAUUUCUUGCCAACCGCCUCGGAGAGCAAGGUCGUCAUGGUCGACCGCGGGAACCGCAUGAUACGCUUCAACAUCGUCAAUAGCCCCCACUACAACGAUACCCAGGACGGCCAAGUCCCCAGGCACUCCCGCUACAUCGAUUCCAUGCCAAGCCUCCACGGGUACAAGGAGGCGCCGCUGACCAUCUCCGUCCCUCCCACGAACUUACACCUCCUUGACGGCGAAGACGCAGGCGACCUCUACAUCAUCGAUAGCGUCCUCCAUCCCAACAAGGCGGACGUACGCCCGCAGUUCGAGGCCCUGGUGUGGAGGGGGAUCACCACGUCCCUCGCGUCUCACAGGUUCUGGCACUGCGACAUCCUCCCGCUGCCCCCGUGGAUCACGCACCACAGGAAUGCCUUCGUCUAUGGUCACGCCCUCGUCGGCGACACCAUCUGCUUCUCCAUCUCUGGCCCAGAGGGCGAUGGCACCUACUGCUUCCACAUGGCGACUCGCCAGUGGAGCAAAGCUGGCGACUGGCUCAUGCCCUUCCAUGGCAAGGCAGAUUACGUCCCUGAGCUUGGACUCUGGUUCGGCGUCGCAGACGGCCUCCCCUGCGCUGCUGACCUCUCUGGCGUCGUCGGAGGGGAGGAGCCGCCGCCAGAGAAGAUGCGGAUCUGGGUGCACGAUGACCUGCCAGAGGAGUGGCAGCCAAACCAAUUUUUCAAGCCCAGGGUCAUCAGCCUUGGUUCUGGCAAGUUCAUGGUCGUGGACUUCUUGGAUGACAUGCAAUUCGACAAGGAAUCCAACGAGAUGUGUCUUGAAAAGCAAUUCGCCCUCUUCACUGGUAUGGAAGUAGCCUACAGCAACGGCAACGGCAAAGGCAAGAAUAGCAGAAAUGGUGCCAUCAAAGACAAUGACCACAGUAGUGGCAGCGAGAAUGGCGGCAAAGGCAAAGGCAAAGGGCUGAUCCGUGGCCUCCGUAUGAUCAAGCACAAAUCCGGUCGUUACAUGUUCAACAACCAUCAGAGGAUCGAGGAGGUGCUCUGAAUGAUUCAGCUAGUCAUUCUCAACUUUAGCUAGUGUAUGCAGGCAUGCAUUAUGGCACUUAAUUUGCUAUCUAUCAGUGUAGCGUUACUGCUCCCUGUUUACAGCAAGGAGUACUGACUCUUCCAGUGCUAAGUCAGCUUAAAUAAUCCAUAUUAUUGUAUGAUGAAACGUACCCUAAUUUUUAACUCCCUGGUGUUAUUCUGGACCAUUUGCAUCUAGUAUUCAGAUUUGCUGCUGACCAUAUAAUUGUUUGAUGUUAAUUUUGAACUGUUGUGCUAGCUGAAGAAUCCAAUCCAAUCUUCUAGGUAGAAACAAGACUAAGUAGAUCAUAUGGUAUAUAGUAAUACCGGUUCAGUUUCCAGAGUUGAUUUCAAGUAACUACAGUUUGGUAAUGAACAAAAAUAGUAAAAUACGACUACCUCCGUCCCAUAAUAUAAGAGCGUCUUUUACACUAGUGUAGUGUAAAAAACAAUCUUAUAUUAUGGGACGGAGGGAGUAGCAGUUUGGUCAAGUACAAGCUCUUCAUAUUCAAGUCACUUACAAUGUUGUAACUAAGUUAAAACUGAGCACUUGCAAUUGAAAAUUAAAAAAAAAAAUCAUUCUUUUCACCACAGGUAGGAGUAUCAGAGUGGUAAUGGAAUGCAGCUUCCAGUUUUUAUUUCUUUUGGCCUGCUUUUCACCUGGGCGCUGGGUGUAAUGGCUAUAAAACCACCAUUUCCUUCCGUUUUGGACUAUCAUGUUGUGAUUGGGUUGUAACCCUAGCUUCUAGUGCCCUUUGGCAAUAUAAACCUAGCAAAUCAAGCCAAACUUCCUCUGAAUCUCUGAAAUUCUAGUGUUAAAUUCAGUCAGCGAUAGUUAGUUCCGGGCAAAUGGUGUCUUAGAGCCAGUAAAGCCUUGGAGGCAGCAUGGAUCUGGAGUGUCAAUGAGCUUGGGUUCUCUCAUAAAAUCCCUUGUCAAGCUUGGAUUCCGGAGGUGUGGUUCCUUGUCAAGCUUUGGAUUUGUCGGGUGGAUUCAGUAGUUCAGCUUGGUUAUUACUGGAGAACAUCUCUUCGGUGGUAAAAUCCUAGCUCCUGAUGUUUGAUCGUGCACCAUCCGAAGGCGGGUGGAGACGUAAACAAAGGCAACGGUUUGGGAACGAAGAGCAGAACAAUUUACCUCCCUGCCUGACCAUGUGUCUUUUUUUUUUGCGGGGUAAAAACCUGUAUAUAUUAAACACAAGCAUUGUCCUUGCUGAUACAAGCUACAAGGAACACAGGAACAUAGUUAAUCCAUAAACAUCUACAUCUAACUGGAUUAGCCUGCUUUGCGCAAAGAUGUGCGAGCUCAUUUGCUUCUCUCUUAGUAAACUGAAGUUGGAAGUGUUCCAUGUUAGCAGUAAGCUCCAGAACUUCAUACAGUGUCGCUGCAAUCUCUGAUCGAUCAUAUGAUUUUGCUUUCCACAUAUUCACUAUCUGCAAAGCAUCAGAUUCAAUAAUAACUUUGUGCAGGCCGAGGUCACAAAGCCAACUGCACCCCAUCUUUGAUCGCCAAAGCCUCCAGUGCCAUUGCACUGGAUGCUAAGUACGUAUUUGGUAGGAGAUGAGUAAGUUUAUCAGAAUUUAUGUUGGCUAGACCUAUAUUAUAUGAAUCCAUGCCAGCUUCCUGUGAAUGUGCUAAUAUUUAUCAUUAUCUUGGUUAUUUUUUGUGCUCUUCUUUUUAUAUUUCUCAAAUAUAAAUGUGUAAUUUAGCCAGGCUAACAUCAACCAACAGGUGUUACAGUACAAACAAUCAGCUUGGCCAAACCCUUACCCCAGAUAGGGUUUUAUUGGUGGCGACCGCGCCUGUAUCUAUGGAUAAUUGUACAACGUUGAGAUACAUUGUACAUUCUGUUAUUCAACUCGCAGCUAUGCUGCAAGGCAGCCUGCCUUGCACUAGAAAUACACACAGGAUGUUCUCGACCCAAGUAUAGGUAUCUCUGAAGGCAGCCCACUACACAAUACAUAUAAGCCACACUGACCCAUGGAUGUUUUACAAAGAGCAGCACAUCUCGAUACUUGAGCGUGGGUACUCAAUCCCAAUAACAAUCAACCGAGGUCUCCUCAACUGGAAACGCAGAACAGACGGCUGGUUUUCUCAGU